ACACACAUUAAUAAUUCAGUGUUGUUUGUAAAUCAGCAAAUGAAAUGCAGAAGUUAUAUAUACAUCCUUCAAGGUGUACAAGAUCACUCACUAUCAAUCUCCUACCUUAAAUCUGCAUUACCAUCUUGGAUAAUGAAAAUGUUCAAAAUUCAGAAAUUCUUAAAUAAGUAAUUCUAAAGUUGUUCCUAGUGUUAUCUAUCUAUAGAUUUAUUGUUAUAAGCUAAACCUGUAGACUUCCCUUUUUCUUAAUGAAAUAAGUAAUUUAAACUAUUUAUACUGAAGGAUAAUAGACUGCUUUAUCCUUCACUAUUGUAGAGAGCUACAGUAUGUCUCAGUCAGACCCCUAGUAAAGCUGGCUUAAAGCAGCAUUUGAAUUGACAGUUCAGGUAUGAAUUUAAAAUUCAGUUCCAGUCCAGAUCCAAAUCAAAGAAUUCAAAAUAAAAUUUAAAAACAAAUGAUUAGGAAUGGAAUUUUUUUUAACCAAAAUUUGUUGAAAAGCUGCAUUUAAAAAAAUCUCAGCAUUAUAAUUAAAUCCUGUGAUAUCUUAGAUAAUAAUUAAUGGAAUCAGUUUUAUAUAAUUCAAUAGACUGCAUUUAGUUUUUGUUUGAAUGCCUGGAAAAUACUUUCAGAAUUUUUUCAUGGAAGAUGAAGGUAUAUAAUAAGGAGAAUAAGUCUUCAAAACUGAGAAUCAUUCCUGAUUGUUUCUUACAGCCUCAAAACAAAAAAGACAGAGAUCAUUACAACAGCUUGACCACCUUUGCACAUCAGCACAGUAGACCAGUAUCACUUCAUCAGUUGAUCUGCAAAGGUUUGGUUUUCUUUUUGCAAUAUUUACUUCUUUUUUUUCCAGUAUGGUGACCCCAGAUUAUUCAGUUUAUCUAAGCACUCCUUGGCUUGCAUAAAAUCACCAUGAUGAAUGAGGGAAAAGAAUAACAUGAUGUCAUAGGUUCAAAGCAAAGAUAAAAACAUGAAAAUUGAAAACAUUUUCAAGGUACUGUCUUAGGGGUUUGGUUGGUGCUCUAAGGAUUUUAGAGUAAAUUCUCGACUCUAAAAAGCCUAAUGCAAAUUUCUAAGGCUCUGCAACUCCAUUUGCCUGGAACAAAACACCUUAUAAAAGUUCUGCCAAGCUCUCAUCAAAAACCCCUUUUGAGCGGAACCUGGUCUGCAUUAUUGACUGCUAAGUAACAACCGGUAUUUGUACAGAUAUACAUCAUCGUAUAAUCAAAGGCAUCUACAAUAAAUACUAUUCCCAACCUUCAGGUAGCAAAUACAGAGUUAUCUUAAGC
ensembl:lncRNA